UCUGCCCCGGGUUGCCCAAGCCGGAACCCCGGCUUGUGUCUCUCGGCGCGAGUCGGGCGUGUUCUGGCUGCCUGCUUGGGUCUGGUACCGUAGUCGGUUUAAAGAGAGUUUGCCAGCCCUCAGGUUCCGUGCUUGCCUCCCCUCCCCGGGUGGUUGUCUGUGAAAACGUGGUUUUUUCCUUUUUUUUCUCUAUCAGCAACCUAACGGUCUGAUAACCCAAAUACAAUGCUAUGCAGUGGAUCAAUUGGCUUGGGGGUCGAUGAAGAACGCAGCUAACUGCGUGACAUAAUGUGAACUGCAGGACACAUGAGCAUCGACACUUUGAACGCAUAUUGCAGGAUUGUGCUUGUCGCAAUCCUACCCUUGGAUCAGGGUCGGUUACAACACAUCCAUCAGGCUGGCUCUGCUCAGUCUGCUCUGUCCUUCCAAGCUUCUCGCGGAGUUUGAGGGACCAAAGUGCAUCCCCGCGGCUUUGGCUGGCGUUCAACUCUUGGGACUCAACUCCCGGGUUGUAGCCUAGCCUGCCCACCGGGUGGAGGCGUGUGGGGAGCUGACUGCUGACUCAUCCCCUUUCGUCGCCGACCGAUACCAACCUUCGACCUGACCUCAAGGGAGACUACCCGCCGAAUUUAAGCAUAUCAAU
rnacentral:rRNA from 1 species